GGGGCUGUAGCUCAGUCUGGGAGAGUACCUCCUUUGCACGGAGGGGGUCAGGGGUUCAAAUCCCCUCAGCUCCA
rnacentral:tRNA from 1 species